rnacentral:tRNA from 1 species
GGAGGUAUGGCUGAGUGGCUCAAGGCAUCGGUUUGCUAAAUCAACAUACAAUGAUAUUGUAUCAUGGGUUCGAAUCCCAUUUCCUCCG